AUUACCUGGGGACCUUGUUAAGAUGCAAAUUCUGAUUCAGUAGGUUUGGGGCGGGCCCAAGAUUCUGCACCUUUAACAAGCCCCCAUGUAGCUGCUGU
rnacentral:pre_miRNA from 1 species